rnacentral:rRNA from 1 species
UACGUAGGGGCUAGCGUUGUCCGGAUUUAUUGGGCGUAAAGAGCGUGUAGGCGGCCAGGUAGGUCUGCUGUGAAAACUCGAGGCUUAACCUCGAGAUGUCGGUGGAAACCAUCUGGCUAGAGUCCGGAAGAGGAGAGUGGAAUUCCUGGUGUAGCGGUGAAAUGCGCAGAUAUCAGGAAGAACACCCGUGGCGAAGGCGGCUCUCGUGGGACGGUACUGACGCUGAGACGCGAAAGCGUGGGGAGCGAACAGG